UCAUUAAAAAUAGAAGUACCUACUCCUCAAUGUCUGUUUGAAUUCAUAAAUGCAUUUACCCUCCCACCAGAGACAAAUUCUCUAGAUGGUAUGUGGCAAUAGCAAAAAUCUAGAUUGACAUCCCUGUUAGCAACUUGUUGGGUCAUACCCAUAGGUGCUUCAACCAUAGUCCAUACUUAGUUAAUGUUCAGGGUGUUCAUUUCAGAUAUUAUGGUUUCAAGCUAAUUGUUAGUCUCUAC
rnacentral:lncRNA from 1 species